rnacentral:lncRNA from 1 species
GUGACUAAAGUUUCCUGUAGUGACUGAACCUACUUUGAAGGAAGCACAAGAGAAACUGAGAACUUGCUGGAGUUAGUUUAACUUGGUUAGAAAUUUUCAUGUUUCUCUGUAUAUCUGCUCUGUGACUGUUUCCUCUCAGAGGUUCAAGAGCCCUACAUUGACUGCUCUACAGAGUGAGAGCAGCAUGCGUUUCUCACUUAUUUUGGCAUGUUUGGGAUACACUGGGGAUGUGUGGGAAUAGAGCAGCAAUUUAAUUUUUUUUUCUCAAGGGUUGUUUUGUUGAACAAAAUUACUCUUUACAGAUUACUGUCUCUGUUUCACCUGAUACAGUGCCUCCCAGCUACCACCAGCUACCAGCUACCAUGAUCAGGACUUCUUACAAAGAACAUGAAAAGUGUCUAUAGAGCUGUUAAAUAGCAAAAAGACACCAGUUUCAUGAAGAAUGUCAUCAAGGAGGACAUGGGAAGGGCAAAUUUUGGCUCAUCUACUACAUUGGCAGCUCUAAGAAAAGGAGACCUCAAACAUGGGACAGCUAUGGGAUCUACUAAAAGAAAAUGACAGUCACAGAAGAAGAGUAUGCUUAUCUCUGCUUAUGAUACAGAAGAUAGUGGAGGAUGUCAGCCAAAAGCCUAAUAUGAGACAAUUUAUACUGAGGAGCAUGGGAAGAUGCACCAGAGAAGGUCACGCUUUCAGUAAAUGUAGUAGAACCUGAACAUUCCAAAGUUCCCUGCAUCUGGCUCAAAAGGGGAGAAGCUUCUGCGGGUAUGAAGAUCCUGGGUUAGAUUCCCAUCACAGACCACUGUGAAACACUGUCUUUCAAAAUCAACACUC